GAUGAACGCUGGCGGCGUGCCUAAUACAUGCAAGUGGAGCGAACAGACGAGGAGCUUGCUCCUCUGACGUUAGCGGCGGACGGGUGAGUAACACGUGGAUAACCUACCUAUAAGACUGGGAUAACUUCGGGAAACCGGAGCUAAUACCGGAUAAUAUAUUGAACCGCAUGGUUCAAUAGUGAAAGACGGUUUUGCUGUCACUUAUAGAUGGAUCCGCGCCGCAUUAGCUAGUUGGUAAGGUAACGGCUUACCAAGGCGACGAUGCGUAGCCGACCUGAGAGGGUGAUCGGCCACACUGGAACUGAGACACGGUCCAGACUCCUACGGGAGGCAGCAGUAGGGAAUCUUCCGCAAUGGGCGAAAGCCUGACGGAGCAACGCCGCGUGAGUGAUGAAGGUCUUCGGAUCGUAAAACUCUGUUAUUAGGGAAGAACAAAUGUGUAAGUAACUAUGCACGUCUUGACGGUACCUAAUCAGAAAGCCACGGCUAACUACGUG
rnacentral:rRNA from 1 species